AGGUGUAAUACAAGGACCAACAGAGAAUGUUAGAAGAGUACUCUAAUGAAUGUUAGUGACGAGGUGUAAUACAAGGACCAACAGAGAAUGUUAGAAGAGUACUCUAAUGAAUGUUAGUGACGAGGUGUAAUACAAGGACCAACAGAGAAUGUUAGAAGAGUACUCUAAUGAAUGUUAGUGACGAGGUGUAAAACAAGGACCAACAGAGAAUACGGCUUUUCUGUGAGAUUGUAGAAUGAUUUAAUUGUUCACAUUCAUUCAGAGGUAGAUACUUUCGAUUAUUUUAUGUGUUAACUGUAUGUAUGUGUAACUAAACACGAAAAAAUUGUGAACAAUUUUAGUUUGCUGAAUAAAUAUAUAUAAAGACUUUUUA